UACGUAGGGUGCAGACGUCAUUGAAUGAAUCUGGGCGUAAAGCGUGCGCAGGCGGUUUUGUAAGUUUGUCGUGAAAUCCCCGGGCUCAACCUGGGAAUGGCGAUGAAGACUGCAAGGCUAGAAUCUGGCAGAGGGGGGUAGAAUUCCACGUGUAGCAGUGAAAUGCGUAGAGAUGUGGAGGAACACCGAUGGCGAAGGCAGCCCCCUGGGUCAAGAUUGACGCUCAUGCACGAAAGGCGUGGGGAGCAAACAGG
rnacentral:rRNA from 1 species